CAUAUCACGUUGAAACACCGGAUCUCUUACGAUCACCGAAGUUAAGCAACGUCGAGACUAGUCACUACCUAUAUGGGUGACCACUUGCAAAUACCAGAUGCUGUAAG